UGCGCAGGCGGUUUUGUAAGACAGGCGUGAAAUCCCCGGGCUCAACCUGGGAAUUGCGCUUGUGACUGCAAAGCUGGAGUGCGGCAGAGGGGGAUGGAAUUCCGCGUGUAGCAGUGAAAUGCGUAGAUAUGCGGAGGAACACCGAUGGCGAAGGCAAUCCCCUGGGCCUGCACUGACGCUCAUGCACGAAAGCGUGGGGAGCAAACAGGAUUAGAUACCCUGGUAGUCCACGCCCUAAACGAUGUCAACUGGUUGUUGGGUCUCUUCUGACUCAGUAACGAAGCUAACGCGUGAAGUUGACCGCCUGGGGAGUACGGCCGCAAGGUUGAA
rnacentral:rRNA from 1 species